ACCGUGUUAGCCAGGAUGGUCUCGAUCUCCUGACCUCGUGAUCCGCCCGUCUCGGCCUCCCAAAGUGCUGGGAUUACAGGCUUGAGCCACCGCACCCGGACUUUUUUUUUUUUUAUACCAAAGUGUUGUCAGGCCAACUGAAUGAUGACGUAGUUGCUAAGGAAACAGAAAGGGCUGCCAGCUGUUUUACCAGGGAUCCAGAGACACAGAGGAAGUAGGGGGUGGUAUGAGAUUAUAUUUUCUGUUUUUAAAAGAAUUUUUUGCUUUUUGUAUUUGGAGUAUAAAGAAAAACAGAUGCCUGUAGAUGUCUGGAGCAUAUUUUCAUUUGCGAGCUAAUGUUUUAAUUUGUGAAGAAUACAAGUUAUUUUUAAUGUUAAAAAUUAGUGAAUCUAACAAAAGGAAUAAAUUAGCAGCAUUUGAUAUGGUUAUGAAAAGUGGUUUUUGUUCCUUACAUAGUAAUUUCUUAAGGAUUCAGGGCAUGGGAAAUCAAACAUUGACUAUGUGCCAAUAAUGGAGGUUUUCUUCAGGAAUUUCUCAUAACUAUUUAUUGUAUCCAUAAGGAGUGCAAGGUCUCUUGGAUCAGAUACCAGGUUGUCACCAGGCUGGAGUGCAGUGGUACAGUCACGGCUCACUGCAACCU